rnacentral:SRP_RNA from 1 species
GCCAGGCAUGGUGGUGCGUGCCUGUAAUCCCGGCUACUCAGGAGGCUGAGGCAGGAGAAUCACUUGAACUCAGGAGGUGGAGUUGCAGUGAGCUGAGAUAGUGCCAUUGCACUCCAGCCUGGGUGACAGAGUGAGACUCUGUCUCAA